CUCAAAUUUGAAAUCUGGCUGUCUUCGAUAGUCCGAGUUGUAAUCUAUAGAAGCGUUUUCCGUGCUGAACUGUGUCUAAGUCCCUUGGAACAGGGUAUCAAAGAGGGUGAUAAUCCCGUACUUGACACAAUCAUCAGUGCUCUGUGAUACGUUCUCUACGAGUCGAGUUGUUUGGGAAUGCAGCUCAAAAUGGGUGGUAAAUUCCAUCUAAAGCUAAAUAUUGGCGAGAGACCGAUAGCGAACAAGUACCGUGAGGGAAAGAUGAAAAGCACUUUGGAAAGAGAGUUAAACAGUACGUGAAAUUGUUGAAAGGGAAACGAUUGAAGUCAGUCGUGUUCAUUGGAUUCAGCUAGUUCUUCUAGUCUACUUCCUUUGAACGGGUCAACAUCAGUUUUGUCCGGUGGAUAAAGGAUUUAGGAAUGUGACUCCCUCGGGAGUGUUAUAGCCUAGGUUCACAUACACUGGGUGAGACUGAGGACUGCAGCUCGCCUUUUGGCCGGGGUUCGCCCACGUUCGAGCUUAGGAUGUUGACAUAAUGGCUUUAAACGA
rnacentral:rRNA from 1 species